CCCCUCUCAGGAUCAUACCUGGAGAGUUUCCAGUACUCUACCAGUCCCAAUUAUGGGAGGGAGAGUCAAGCAAAGGAAAAUCCAUUCCAUUCCUAGCUUGGGCAGUGGCUAGCAAGUGGAAGGCAAUCUGCUACAAGU